rnacentral:miRNA from 1 species
GGAGAAUCGCUUGAACCUGGGAGGUGGAGGUUGCAGUGAGCUGAGAUCACGCCACUGCACUCCAGCCUGGGC